AUACGUAGGGGGCAAGCGUUGUCCGGAAUUAUUGGGCGUAAAGGGCGCGCAGGCGGUCUUUUAAGUCUUGUGUUUAAACCCGGGGCUCAACCUCGGGACGCACGGGAAACUGGGAGGCUUGAGUGCAGGAGAGGAAAGUGGAAUUCCACGUGUAGCGGUGAAAUGCGUAGAGAUGUGGAGGAACACCAGUGGCGAAGGCGACUUUCUGGCCUGCAACUGACGCUGAGGCGCGAAAGCGUGGGGAGCGAACAGGAUUAGAUACCCUGGUAGUCCACGCCGUAAACGAUGAAUGCUAGGUGUUAGGGAGCACGAACUCCUUAGUGCCGAAGUCAACACAUUAAGCAUUCCGCCUGGGGAGUACGGUCGCAAGACUGAA
rnacentral:rRNA from 1 species